AUACGGAGGGAGCGAGCGUUAAUCGGAAUUACUGGGCGUAAAGCGCUCGUAGGCGGUUUGUUAAGUCGGAUGUGAAAGCCCCGGGCUCAACCUGGGAAUGGCAUUCGAUACUGCUUGACUAGAGUAUGGUAGAGGGAAGUGGAAUUUCCGGUGUAGCGGUGAAAUGCGUAGAUAUCGGAAGGAACACCAGUGGCGAAGGCGACUUCCUGGGCCAAUACUGACGCUGAGGUGCGAAAGCGUGGGGAGCAAACAGGAUUAGAAACCCCGGUAGUCC
rnacentral:rRNA from 1 species